rnacentral:lncRNA from 12 species
CUGCCUCAAUUUUUAAUGUUUCAUAUAUAAAUGAAAAUAAAAAUCAUAGUUCCCCCCCUCUUUCCUGUAAGUUUCUAUUUUUAACUCCUGUACAAUAUCAGAUCUAAUACCCUUGUGUUCUUUCCCUAGUCCUGGUUCCUGCCCAUGUAACAUACACCUGCUCAGGAAUCCAGGUAUACCUGGGAUGCUUCCUACCCAAUUCUGUUAUUUUUAUUGUGAUUAAAAUAUUGAGAAACUGGUUCCACUAUAGAUCAGUACUCCAUAUAUAUUAUGAAUGGAUAGGUCUAUGGAUGGAAUAGCAGAAACUACCUGACAUGAGGAAUCAUUCAUUUCAGAAAUGUGGCAUAGGUACAUAUUCACUCUUUGCUGGGACAGAAUGUUCAUAUACGGAGUUCAGAAAUCUCAGUGCCAGUUGAAAUUUGGCAGUUGGUUCCUUCCAGCUGUUCUUAAAGGUAUUCUCUCCGCGGGGAUUUAAAAGUGACUCCUAGUCAUGGCUUAAGAUUUUUAGGUUUCACUGUUUCUGUUUUGAUUCUUCCCUUUGGAAAACAGAGAAAAUGCAACAUUUAUCCAGUAGUGAAGGGUUUAUGAAGUUCUUCAGAGUUAGAUCUAAAUUAUCACAGCUGUCAAUAGUUGGGUCUCUUCAUCUUCCUGAUAUAUGGGGUAUACAACACAGAGGCAUUUCUCGGCAUCCUCUGCUCUGCUCGGGGAGCGCAGAGUGAAUCCCAGCACAGAUCACACCGGGCCUAGCAGUGCGCGUUUUAUAAGGAGCCUAGGAGGCUGGGCAGCAGGGCCACGCGGCAAAGACUCCUCAGCCAGACUAGUUGGCUGCUUUCAGG